rnacentral:rRNA from 1 species
UACGAAGGGGGCUAGCGUUGCUCGGAAUCACUGGGCGUAAAGGGCGCGUAGGCGGCCGGCCAAGUCGGGGGUGAAAGCCUGUGGCUCAACCACAGAAUGGCCCUCGAUACUGGCUGGCUCGAGACCGGAAGAGGUUGGUGGAAUUGCGAGUGUAGAGGUGAAAUGCGCAGAUAUCAGGAGGAACACCAAUUGCGAAGGCAGCUCGCUGGGACGUUACUGACGCUGAGACGCGAAAGCGUGGGGAGCAAACAGG